rnacentral:sRNA from 1 species
UAUGACAAAAAUGGAGCAGCUCGCUGGGACUUAAUUUCCAAUUUGAGAAUUCAACAAAUAGAGAUGUCAACAAGUUUCAAGAUGUUUCUUGAUAAUUGGAAUAUUCAGACAGCUCUUUGGCUGAAAAGGGUGUGUUAUGAACGAACCUCCUUCAUUCCAACUAUCCAGACGUUCAUUCUCUCUGCCAUUUGGCACGGGGUAUACCCAGGAUAUUAUCUAACGUUUCUAACAGGGGUGUUAAUGACAUUAGCAGCACGAGCUGUAAGUAUCAAGAAUUUUAUUUUACAAUUCAAUGGUCCACUUGAACUGUUAAAAAGGCUGAGUACAUCUCUCUUACAAGGUAGACCCUCUUUCCUUGGCCAUGGUCAGUAUUGUCCUUUCCACUAGAAGCGAGGUGUGUAACUGUGUGCAUGUUUGCUGAGCGCUCACCACGGGCUAGGCUCCAUGCCCAGUUCCUGUGAGGAGAAAACACGUUUCUAUGUGCCCGGCAGGUAGGAGGCACUCACAAAAUGUUACUUUGUCUUUA